UACGGAGGGUGCGAGCGUUAAUCGGAAUUACUGGGCGUAAAGCGCGCGCAGGCGGUUUGGUAAGCUGGAUGUGAAAGCCCUGGGCUCAACCUGGGAACUGCAUCCAGAACUGCCAAGCUAGAGUAUGGUAGAGGGCAGUGGAAUUUCCGGUGUAGCGGUGAAAUGCGUAGAGAUCAGGAGGAACAUCCAUGGCGAAGGCAGCUACCUGGACCAACACUGACACUGAGGCACGAAAGCGUGGGGAGCAAACAGGAUUAGAUA
rnacentral:rRNA from 1 species